UACAGAGGGUGCAAGCGUUGUUCGGAAUUAUUGGGCGUAAAGGGAGUGUAGGCGGCUAGGAAAGUCUUCUGUGAAAUCUACGGGCUCAGCCUGUAAAGAGCAGAGGAAACUAUCUGGCUAGAGUGUCGGAGAGGAUAGGGGAAUACCCGGUGUAGAGGUGAAAUUCGUAGAGAUCGGGUGGAACACCAGUGGCGAAGGCGCCUGUCUGGCUGACAACUGACGCUGAGACUCGAAAGCAUGGGGAGCAAACAGG
rnacentral:rRNA from 1 species